rnacentral:misc_RNA from 1 species
GAUGAAGAACGUAGCGAAAUGCGAUAAGUAAUGUGAAUUGCAGAAUUCAGUGAAUCAUCGAAUCUUUGAACGCACAUUGCGCCCCCUGGUAUUCCGGGGGCAUGCCUGUCCGAGCGUCAUUACAACCCUCAAGCUCAGCUUGGUAUUGGGCCCCGCCGACCCGGCGGGCCCUAAAGUCAGUGGCGGUGCCGUCCGGCUCCGAGCGUAGUAAUUCUUCUCGCUCUGGAGGUCCGGUCGUGUGCUCGCCAGCAACCCCCAAUUUUUUUCAGGUUGACCUCGGAUCAGGUAGGGAUACCCGCUGAACUUAAGCAUAUCAAUAAGCGGAGGA